rnacentral:rRNA from 1 species
CCUACGGGAGGCAGCAGUGGGGAAUAUUGGGCAAUGGGCGCAAGCCUGACCCAGCAACGCCGCGUGAAGGAAGAAGGCCUUCGGGUUGUAAACUUCUUUUCUCAGGGACGAAGCAAGUGACGUUACCUGAGGACUAAGCCACGGCUAACUACGUGCCAGUAGCCGCGGUAAUACGUAGGUGGCAAGCGUUAUCCGGAUUUACUGGGUGUAAAGGGCGUGUAGGCGGGAAAGCAAGUCAGAUGUGAAAACCAUGGGCUCAACCUGUGGCCUGCAUUUGAAACUGUUUUUCUUGAGUACUGGAGAGGCAGACGGAAUUCCUAGUGUAGCGGUGGAAUGCGUAGAUAUUAGGAGGAACACCAGUGGCGAAGGCGGUCUGCUGGACAGCAACUGACGCUGAGGCGCGAAAGCGUGGGGAGCAAACAGGAUUAGAUACCCCUGUAGUC